GUGGGAUUUCUGGAGGCUGAGCUGCAUUUCCAUGGCUUCCAGAUGGCCAUGCCUCUCCCAGCAGCACUGCUUGUGUGGGCAUGCAAGGAGUGCUGCCAAGAAGAAGACAAGGAUCAUCUCAGGGAAGAUGGAAAUGGGAAGAAGAUGCAAGAUUGCUAAACUUCUAAGAUAAAGGAGCAUCUCAUAUAUGCAGUGCCUGGCAAUAAAGCAGAACCAUGCACCCAGCAACACCUUUGAUCUCAACCAUAUGGAGCUCCUUCGUGCUCUUGGAAAAAAAGGCUCCCUUUCCUCCGAUGCAGGCCGAGAAAGACUGGGAGCCCCCAGAUGGCUGUAUACCACUCAUGACUGCGACUUCAUUGAUUAUUUUCUCUUCUGAUUGGUCCUGAUUGAAAAUAAAUAAAACAUGCACUUGGAACUGGA